UACGGAGGGUGCGAGCGUUGUCCGGAAUCAUUGGGCGUAAAGGGCGCGUAGGUGGCCCGGUCAGUCCGUGGUGAAAGCGCGGGGCUCAACCCUGCGUCGGCCAUGGAUACUGCCGCGGCUGGAGCACUGUAGAGGCAGGCGGAAUUCCGGGUGUAGCGGUGGAAUGCGUAGAGAUCCGGAAGAACACCGGUGGCGAAGGCGGCCCGCUGGGCAGAGACUGACGCUGAGGCGCGACAGCGUGGGGAGCAAACAGG
rnacentral:rRNA from 1 species